CAGCCAUAUAACUCAGAAACACCGGUCCCCGUACGAUCACUGAAGUUAAGCAAAGUCUAGCUUGUUCAGUAUCUGGAUGGGUGACGGCUUGCGAAUACCUGGUAC